rnacentral:lncRNA from 1 species
CUUACACUUAAAACAAACACAGAGAAUCACAGUUGUGUAAUCGUUGCUAGAAAAAGAAAAGACUAAGCACCAACCAUUUCAGAGUAAACCUUGUUUUCAAGCUUGCUGAUAUGCAGCCGUGUAAAAGGUGCUCAAACACCUCUCACAGCCCGAUUAGCCUAAGGCUUGUGACAAGAGGGCGUAUUUUUUUUUUGUGCUUUCAAGGUGAAGAGAUGAAACAACACAGUGAAAACAAAACCCCUUCCCCCGGAAUUUUGCAUUUCUCCAGUGAGAGCUUCUGGCAGACUACUUUCUCUUCAAGGAAAAAUAAUAAAUCAUUGAGGUUGCUGUGGCCUGAUGCCAAGCUUUAUCAGCUACCGUGUCCAGCUUACAAAAGCAUAUGAAUUUAUUAUCUUCACUCUUUCUGCUCAUCUGUACAAGAGUGUGCUUUUUUGGAAUCUCCCUGCAAUCACCUCAUACACGUCAAAUACUCGGACAGCUGCAGCGUGGUUGCCUAUAGCAUCACCGGAAGCCUUUGACCUUCCAGCAAACAGGACACCUUGAUUAGAUGGCAGGAGGAGACCACUGUGUGAGGGAUCUGCACAUCACAGCAGCAUGCAAUUUCAAAAAAUCCCAGAUUUGAUGAUCAUUUCUGUUCUAGAUGCCACUCAUUCUCUCCACAGGAUUGGAGAACUGUAACGUGUUGGAAAAUAACACUGCGGAGAGAUUUUGUUUCACACAGGAGUGUUAUUAAAAAGAAAAUUUGUUAUCGGGAAAAGUUGUUUGAACUACAUUAAGUAGAGGUUGUGUCCAUGGUUAUUCUCAGUAAACAGAUAAUGAUGGAUAAUUAUACAUCACCUUUCUUCUUCGGCAGCAAUGUAAAACACUGAGUUAUGAAAGUAUCAAAAUAAGUCACUAAAAAUAUUGCUUUCUGAAUCCUUGAUAGCUUUCAACUGUACACUCUAGUAUAGGUAAGAGUGAUGGUUUCUGCUGCACAGAUGGCACACAACAUCUCCUCAGUGAGAGAUGACUUAGUGCAUACACUGCCAUUUGGGAUGUGGAAGUUCUUAAUCGUGUGAAUAGCUAUUUGCUUGCAUGAUUUUCAUCCCACAGCUAUGGAAAAAAUAUGAUACAGAAGAGAAACAUAUAGACUUGCUUUAAAUUAGAGAUGUAGAAGCUAUCAUCAGGCCUAGAAUAGAUUAAAUUAUGAUGUAAGGUACUCUCUGCCAAAGGAGGCUGCUGUUGAUCUUCAGAUGAGAUGACUCAUGGAAAAGUGGUCUGUAUGAGUUUCACAUUACUCUGCUGGAGACUAUAUCCUUUAAAGACUAAACUCAGACUAACUUGUACUGAGGGAGAAGGCAAAAAUUUGGAGUUACUUCUUGGCUUUUGGGUAUUACCAGGCCAGUAUUAAAACCUUAUGUACUGAAAUGACUCCUUGGAAGAAUAUGAGCAUCUUGAAGGUAAAUAAAAUGCGACAGGGAGUUAGAGAGCUGAAGAUG